rnacentral:rRNA from 1 species
UACUAGAGUAGCACUCGCAUAUCAAUAAGCGGAGGAAAAGAAACUAACAAGGAUUCCCCUAGUAACGGCGAGUGAAGCGGGAAGAGCUCAAAUUUGAAAUCUUAAAGGGUUUCCCUUUACGAAUUGUAGUUUAAAGAAGUGUUUUCUGUUGAGGUUUUGGUAAAAGUUCUUUGGAAUAGGACAUCAUAGAGGGUGAGAAUCCCGUAUUUGACCUUUACUUUCAACUUUGUGAUACACUUUCAAAGAGUCGGAUUGUUUGGGAAUGCAGUCCAAAAUGGGUGGUAAAUUUCAUCUAAAGCUAAAUAUUGGCGAGAGACCGAUAGCGAACAAGUACCGUGAGGGAAAGAUGAAAAGAACUUUGAAAAGAGAGUUAAACAGUACGUGAAAUUGUCAAAAGGGAAGCGUUUGACACCAGUGUUGUUUUUCUGAAAAUCAAUUAAAGAACUGUAUAUGCUAAGCUGUUUAGACUUUAUCAGCUAUCCUGUUUAGUUUUGAGCUUUUCUUUAAUGCACUUUUCAGUUAACAAGUCAACAUCAAUUUCUUUUGCUGUAAAAAAGCUUGAGGAAGGUGGCUUGAGAUUCGUCUUAAGUGUUUAUAGCCUCUUGCCUAUGCAGUCGGAGAGAUUGAGGUCUGCAGCGUAGAUCCUUCGGGGCUAAAUGCAUUUGUGCUAAGUUAUAACAUUUUAUAGACAACUUGUUGACUAUGAUUUGUCUUGUAGCUUACUCGCUUAUGUUAUUUUACCUACGCUUAGGAUGUUGAUCUACAGAGCGAGAGU